rnacentral:rRNA from 1 species
AUACGUAGGGUGCGAGCGUUGUCCGGAAUUACUGGGCGUAAAGAGCUCGUAGGUGGUUUGUCGCGUCGUCUGUGAAAUUCCGGGGCUUAACUCCGGGCGUGCAGGCGAUACGGGCAUAACUUGAGUACUGUAGGGGAGACUGGAAUUCCUGGUGUAGCGGUGAAAUGCGCAGAUAUCAGGAGGAACACCGGUGGCGAAGGCGGAUAUCUGGGCAGUAACUGACGCUGAGGAGCGAAAGCAUGGGUAGCGAACAGGAUUAGAUACCCUGGUAGUCCAUGCCGUAAACGGUGGGCGCUAGGUGUAGGGGUCUUCCACGACUUCUGUGCCGUAGCUAACGCAUUAAGCGCCCCGCCUGGGGAGUACGGCCGCAAGGCUAAAACUCAAAUGAAUUGACGGGG